rnacentral:rRNA from 1 species
AGCGAAGAGGUCACACCCGUUCCCAUUCCGAACACGGCAGUUAAGCUCUUCAGCGCCGAUGGUAGUUGGGGGUUUCCCCCUGUGAGAGUAGGACGUCGCCAAGC